UAGAACGAGAGAAAGAUGGGAGGGAACAAAAUUCAGGGUGGGGGAGACAAGGACACUGACCUGGGAAUCAAGCAAACGUUACUUUCUGUGAUGAAAAAGAAAAGCAAAUGGCCUGAGAGUGAAGAGAUAUUGGAACCAACAAAAGAAAAGUUCAUGAGACGGAGCAACUGUAGACCCUCCCCCAGAAACCCAGCAGCAAACCCAGAUACACAGAACCUACAGAAGCGCAAAGUGGGAGCGAACAUGCUCCAUGAGUUGCCGCUUCUCCUGGCGGCCAAGGAAAAUGAUAGUGAGCGGCUGAAGGAACUCUUAGUAAAUGACAGAUGUGACCCACUCCAGAGAGGGGCUCUGGGAGAGACAGCUCUACACGUGGCUGUACAGCAUAACAACAUGGAGGCAGCCCAGAUACUGAUCAGAGAGGCUCCAGGACUCAUUAACCAGCCCAUGACAUCCGACUUCUAUCAGGGACAGACGGCCCUUCAUAUUGCAACUGUCAACCAGAGCUUCAGUCUAGUCCAACUUCUCAUAGAAAGUGGAGCCGACGUGUCUUCCCCUCGGGCCACAGGGACAUUUUUUUCAUUAAGUCCCAAGAAUCUUUUUUACUUUGGUGAGCACAUCUUGGUCUUUGCUGCAUGUGUGGGAAACGCCGAUAUUGUCAAAUUACUUAUUGACCGCGGAGCUGAUCUUCAUGCCCAAGACUGCUGGGGAAAUACAGUUCUGCACAUCCUGGUUCUACAGCCCAGUAAGAACCUGUCUUGUCAAAUGUUUGACUUCAUUCUUUCCCAGGAGCGCAGAGACACAGAACAACCACUUUACCAGAUUCCCAACAAGCAGGGACUCACCCCACUAAAACUCGCUGCUGCUGAAGGAAAUAUAACUAUGUUCCAGCACUUGGUGCAGAAGCAGAGGAAAGCCCAGUGGGCGUUUGGUCCUGUUACCACCAUGUUAUAUGACGUGUCAGAGAUUGACUCUUGGAAGACAGACCAGUCUGUGCUGGAGGUUAUUGCCACAGCCAGAAAAAGCCAGCCAUUCAACAUACUCAACUGUCAGCCAAGUAAAGAACUGCUAAAGAAAAAGUGGAAAAGGUGUGGUCGCCCAUACUUGUGGUCUCUGGCUGCUCUGUAUAUACUUUACAUGAUAUGCGUGUCUCUGUGCUGUGCAAACCGACCCCUUAAACCUCGACUGGAUAAUGCCACUGACCCCAGGGACAUCACACUUUACAUUCAGAAAACACUGGAGGAAUCCUAUAUCACCGAGGAGGAUCAUCUGCGCCUGGUGGGAGAGAUCAUAACUGUGAUUGGGGCCAUUGUCUUAUUACUGCUGGAGAUCUCACAGGUGUUGAGGGUCGGCUUAAAGUUUUUUGCCUGUCACCAGAUGUGGGAAAACCCUUUGCAUGUUAUGAGAAUUUCCUUCUCCUUUCUGGUUCUGGUGACCCUUGUCCUGCGACUCACUAACACAGACGGAGAAGUGAUUCCCAUGUCCAUGGCCCUGGUGUCUGGCUGGUGCUACAUCAUGUAUUUUGCUCAAGGAUUCCAAAUGCUUGGACCCUUCACAAUUAUCAUACAAAAGAUGGCAGCAAGUGAUCUCCUAAAGUUCUGCUGGCUGAUGGCUGUGGUGAUCUGUGGGUACAGCAUGGCUUUUUAUAUUGUAUUUCAGACAGUAGAUCCUGUGGCACUUGGUGCCUUCACUCCUUUCCCUGUGUCUCUGGUAAGCACCUACCAACUCUUCCUCAAUAUCCUCAAUGGACCGGCCAACUAUGAUGUAGACCUGCCAUUCAUGUACAUCGUACUCUACUCCUCCUUCUGUGUCAUUGCAUUUCUCCUCAUGUUCAACCUGUUGAUUGCUAUGAUGGGGGAUACACAAGCCGCUAUGGCAAAGCAGAAGGAUGAAUUAUGGAGGGCACAGAUCGCGGGCACCACAGUAAUGAUGGAGCACAGGAUUCCAAAAUGCCUCUGGUCUAGCUGCACCCCCACAGAUCAGGACUUGGAUGGAAGGAGAUAUCUCAGAAAAGGUGACCAUCCAUCCUGCGGCACUCAAUUUCUCCUCCCUGGCUAUUCCACUGACUUUAAAUUGCAUGUCACCUAAAGGCAAAGUGAGGAAACAAGUGUUAGGAAAAUUUGCAGGGAAACGCAGGUUGCACCACUGGCUAGCAGUGGCUCCAGCUCAGCCCAGUCCUCUGUACCUUCAGGAGCAGCAUCCCAGCCGCGCAAGAAGCUGCUGACCAUAUGCGAGCAGUGUAAGAGCAAGAUGCAGCUGACUGCCGACCUUAUUCUUCUGUUCAGAGAGCUGUGGCCUGUCAGCUCGGAGAGUUUGCUUCAGUUCAGAGAGGCUUUGGAGACUUGUCGGGACACCGUGAUCGUGCGCACCAAGGCCUGAAACAAAGAGUUAUAUUCCAGCUAAUUCUGGUGCCUUGGAAUCAAAAGACAUACAUUUGUGAAAAAAGCUAUUUAGGGUUCCAUUUAUUGCUUCCAACAGCUUCCCCCCUAUCACAGGCAAUGCACAUAGGCGCAGAGAGAGACGGCAAGGUCUGGGUGAGUUAGUGACCACAAGUAGCUCUGUUAGUUGGCUUGUCGGGACACCGUGAUCGCGCGCACCAAGGCCUGUCUAUCCUCACUCAUGAUGUGCAGAAUCAGCUCAACAUGGGCCGCUUUGCUGAGGUGGGAGAAAUGGUGCAGGAGAUGGGCACUACUGCUGCUGCUUACUGCCCCUUGUUCCUCUUCCCAGCCCACGCUCCUUCGCAUGUUGUCAGUGGAAUAGCCAAGGAGGAGAAAUCGAGCGCCGCAGGAUGGAUGGUCGCCCUGUCGCCUUUUCUGAAGAGGAUAUGAAUAUGAGGGGUCGCGGAACAGGGAGAAAGGGUGGGAGAAGCCAUGAGGAAAGUGUGGAAGAGAGAAGAUGGCUCCCUCUCCUGCCAGCGGAAUUAAAUAGGGACCAAGAAGAUUCUGACGAGACAGACACAGAUGAUGAAGACAGAAAUAUCAAUUCAUGGGUUGAGACUGGGGGGUCUCAUCUAAU